rnacentral:rRNA from 1 species
GAUGAACGCUGGCGGCGUGCCUAAUACAUGCAAGUCGAGCGAACAGACGAGGAGCUUGCUCCUCUGACGUUAGCGGCGGACGGGUGAGUAACACGUGGAUAACCUACCUAUAAGACUGGGAUAACUUCGGGAAACCGGAGCUAAUACCGGAUAAUAUAUUGAACCGCAUGGUUCAAUAGUGAAAGACGGUUUUGCUGUCACUUAUAGGUGGAUCCGCGCCGCAUUAGCUAGUUGGUACGGUAACGGCUUACCAAGGCAACGAUGCGUAGCCGACCUGAGAGGGUGAUCGGCCACACUGGAACUGAGACACGGUCCAGACUCCUACGGGAGGCAGCAGUAGGGAAUCUUCCGCAAUGGGCGAAAGCCUGACGGAGCAGCGCCGCGUGAGUGAUGAAGGUCUUCGGAUCGUAAAACUCUGUUAGUAGGGAAGAACAAAUGUGUAAGUAACUAUGCACGUCUUGACGGUACCUAAUCAGAAAGCCACGGCUAACUACGUG